rfam:Oryza nivara chromosome 3, whole genome shotgun sequence.
AAAAAGAAAAACCCUGGAUUUCCGUGUCCAAUGUUUGACUGUUCGUCUUAUAUGAAAUUAUUUUAUAAUUAGUAUUUUUAUUGUUGUUAGAUGAUAAAACAUGAUUAAUACUUUAUGCGUGACUUGUUUUUUUAAUUUUUUUCAUAUUUUUUUCAAAUAAGACGGAUGGUCAAACGUUGGAUACGGAAACCUAAGUUUGUCUUUUUU